rnacentral:rRNA from 1 species
GACGGAGGGGGCAAGCGUUGUCCGGAAUUACUGGGCGUAAAGCGCUCGUAGGCGGUCAUAUACGGCGGUGGUGAAAGCUCCCGGCUCAACUGGGAGAGGCCCGCCGCAACGGUAUGACUCGAGGUUGGUAGAGGCAGAUGGAAUUCCUGGUGUAGCGGUGAAAUGCGUAGAGAUCAGGAGGAACACCCAUGGCGAAGGCAGUCUGCUGGGCCACACCUGACGCUGAGGAGCGAAAGCUAGGGGAGCGAACGGG